rnacentral:rRNA from 1 species
UACGGAGGGUGCAAGCGUUAAUCGGAAUUACUGGGCGUAAAGCGUGCGCAGGCGGUUUGUUAAGUCCGUUGUGAAAGCCCCGAGCUCAACUUGGGAAUUGCAGUGGAUACUGGCAGGCUGGAGUACGGUAGAGGAAGGUGGAAUUCCCGGUGUAGCAGUGAAAUGCGUAGAUAUCGGGAGGAACACCAGUGGCGAAGGCGGCCUUCUGGACCAGUACUGACGCUCAUGCACGAAAGCGUGGGGAGC